UACGGGGGGGCAAGCGUUGUUCGGAAUUACUGGGCGUAAAGGGCUCGUAGGCGGCCAACUAAGUCAGACGUGAAAUCCCUCGGCUUAACCGGGGAACUGCGUCUGAUACUGGAUGGCUUGAGUUUGGGAGAGGGAUGCGGAAUUCCAGGUGUAGCGGUGAAAUGCGUAGAUAUCUGGAGGAACACCGGUGGCGAAGGCGGCAUCCUGGACCGAUACUGACGCUGAGGAGCGAAAGCCAGGGGAGCAAACGGG
rnacentral:rRNA from 1 species